GGGUUGUGAGGUUAAGCGACUAAGCGUACACGGUGGAUGCCCUGGCAGUCAGAGGCGAUGAAGGACGUGCUAAUCUGCGAUAAGCGCCGGUAAGGUGAUAUGAACCGUUAUAACCGGCGAUUUCCGAAUGGGGAAACCCAGUGUGACUCGUCACACUAUCAUUAACUGAAUCCAUAGGUUAAUGAGGCGAACCGGGGGAACUGAAACAUCUAAGUACCCCGAGGAAAAGAAAUCAACCGAGAUUCCCCCAGUAGCGGCGAGCGAACGGGGAGGAGCCCAGAGCCUGAAUCAGCAUGUGUGUUAGUGGAAGCGUCUGGAAAGGCGCGCGAUACAGGGUGACAGCCCCGUACACAAAAGCGCAUGUGCUGUGAGCUCGAUGAGUAGGGCGGGACACGUGGUAUCCUGUCUGAAUAUGGGGGGACCAUCCUCCAAGGCUAAAUACUCCUGACUGACCGAUAGUGAACCAGUACCGUGAGGGAAAGGCGAAAAGAACCCCGGCGAGGGGAGUGAAAAAGAACCUGAAACCGUGUACGUACAAGCAGUGGGAGCACCCUUUUGGGUGUGACUGCGUACCUUUUGUAUAAUGGGUCAGCGACUUAUAUUCUGUAGCAAGGUUAACCG
rnacentral:rRNA from 1 species